GUUAGCUCAGUCGGUAGAACGUGAGACUUUGAAUCUCAGGGUUGUGGGUUCAAGCCCCAUGUUGGACA